CCACCCGAAUGUGCAUUUCAAGGUGUGGCCUUUUUGAAUUCUCUAGUUGCUUCAAAAGAACCUACACAUCCUGUAGGUUUACCACGAACCUUGCAAUGAAUAUGAAUUUCUAGUUUUGUGCAUUAGAGGUAUAUCCAAUGCUGAUUUGGUAGUAACCUGAAGGGGUCGUGGAUUCAUUUGUGGUGCAGACAGGGGAGAUCUGUCUGGACAUCUUAAAGAAUGCAUGGAGUCCUGCAUGGACUCUUCAGUCAGUUUGUAGGGCUAUAAUUGCUCUUAUGGCUCAUCCUGAGCCUGAUAGCCCUCUCAACUGUGAUUCAGGCAAGCUAAAUAUCUUUGUCUAAUUUCUUGUUUGAUCAAACGUUUCUUUAUCUGUUAGGCUAUGAUAUAAAUUACAUAUGAUACCAAUACUCCAGGAAACCUUUUGCGUUCUGGUGAUCUCAGAGGGUACCAAUCUAUGGCAAGAAUGUAUACAAGACUUGCUGCAUCUCCAAAGAAAGGCUGAAAUUUCAAACUAGUAGCCUGUGCUUCUGUACUUUCACUACUAUAUUUAUUUAUUUAUGAUUUGCUGUGUGCUGCUCAACCCUUUGGGGGUUCGGCUGUGGUUCUCUGUUGUAUGCUGAAAUACCGUUCUGUACAAUUUAGCUGGUCUAUAAGUUAAGAGCAUCUUCGCACAUCAAUAAAUUAUAUAAAUUGAAAGGAACAUUUCUAUAUUCGCAAGGUUGACCACACUUUGCAACGGUACUUACGUACAUUGAAGGAAACAGAUUAUCUUUCUUGUUUACUGAAUACAUCUUUAGCCAUG
rnacentral:lncRNA from 1 species